rnacentral:rRNA from 1 species
GACGAACGCUGGCGGCGUGCCUAAUACAUGCAAGUAGAACGCUGAAGGAGGAGCUUGCUCUUUCUGGAUGAGUUGCGAACGGGUGAGUAACGCGUAGGUAACCUGCCUGGUAGCGGGGGAUAACUAUUGGAAACGAUAGCUAUACCGCAUAAUAGUAGAUGUUGCAUGACAUUUGCUUAAAAGGUGCAAUUGCAUCACUACCAGAUGGACCUGCGUUGUAUUAGCUAGUUGGUGAGGUAACGGCUCACCAAGGCAACGAUACAUAGCCGACCUGAGAGGGUGAUCGGCCACACUGGGACUGAGACACGGCCCAGACUUCUACGGGAGGCAGCAGUAGGGAAUCUUCGGCAAUGGACGGAAGUCUGACCGAGCAACGCCGCGUGAGUGAAGAAGGUUUUCGGAUCGUAAAGCUCUGUUGUAAGAGAAGAACGAGUGUGAGAGUGGAAAGUUCACACUGUGAC